AACGCUGGCGGCGUGCCUAACACAUGCAAGUCGAACGAGGUCCAUCCUUCGGGAGAAGACCUAGUGGCGAACGGGUGAGUAACACGUGAGGAACCUGCCCCGGAGACCGGGAUAACCCUCCGAAAGGAGAGCUAAUACCGGAUACCCCCACCGAACCGCAUGGUUUGGUGAGGAAAUGGAUUCCGCUUCGGGAGGGCCUCGCGGCCUAUCAGCUAGUUGGUGGGGUAACGGCCCACCAAGGCAUCGACGGGUAGCUGGUCUGAGAGGACGAUCAGCCACACUGGGACUGAGACACGGCCCAGACUCCUACGGGAGGCAGCAGUGGGGAAUCUUGCGCAAUGGGCGAAAGCCUGACGCAGCAACGCCGCGUGGGGAUGAAGGCUCUCGGGUUGUAAACCCCUUUCAGCAGGGACGAAUCAAGACGGUACCUGCAGAAGAAGCCCCGGCUAACUACGUG
rnacentral:rRNA from 1 species